GAUGAACGCUGGCGGCGUGCCUAAUACAUGCAAGUCGAGCGAACGGACGAGAAGCUUGCUUCUCUGAUGUUAGCGGCGGACGGGUGAGUAACACGUGGAUAACCUACCUAUAAGACUGGGAUAACUUCGGGAAACCGGAGCUAAUACCGGAUAAUAUUUCGAACCGCAUGGUUCAAAAGUGAAAGACGGUCUUGCUGUCACUUAUAGAUGGAUACGCGCUGCAUUAGCUAGUUGGUAAGGUAACGGCUUACCAAGGCAACGAUGCAUAGCCGACCUGAGAGGGUGAUCGGCCACACUGGAACUGAGACACGGUCCAGACUCCUACGGGAGGCAGCAGUAGGGAAUCUUCCGCAAUGGGCGAAAGCCUGACGGAGCAACGCCGCGUGAGUGAUGAAGGUCUUCGGAUCGUAAAACUCUGUUAUUAGGGAAGAACAUAUGUGUAAGUAACUGUGCACAUCUUGACGGUACCUAAUCAGAAAGCCACGGCUAACUACGUG
rnacentral:rRNA from 1 species